UCUCAGAGUAGGAAUGUUCAACCAGGAUCAGGUCCCCCUCCUCCCCCUCUAUUCAUACUGUCUCAGAGUAGGAAUGUUCAACCAGGAUCAGGUCCCCUCCUCCCCCUCUAUUCAUAGUGUCUCAGAGUAGGAAUGUUCAACCAGGAUCAGGUCCCCCUCCUCCCUCCUCUAUUCAUACUGUCUCAGAGUAGGAAUGUUCAACCAGGUUCAGGUCCCCCUCCUCCCUCCUCUAUUCAUAGUGUCUCAGAGUAGGAAUGUUCAACCAGGAUCAGGAUCAGGGUUCCCCUGAUGAAAUGUAGGGGAGAGCGUGAUGGAAGAGGUGAAAGGUAGAGAGAGAGUGACGGAAGAGGUGAAAGGUAGAGAGAGAGUGAUGUGAAAGGUAGAGAGAGAGUGAUGGAAGAGGUGAAAGGUAGAGAGAGAGUGAUGGAAGAGGUGAAAGGUAGAGAGAGAGUGACGGAAGAGGUGAAAGGUAGAGAGAGAGUGACGGAAGAGGUGAAAGGUAGAGAGAGAGUGAUGUGAAAGGUAGAGAGAG
rnacentral:lncRNA from 1 species